CCCUUAGAUGUUCUGGGCCGCACGCGCGCUACACUGACGGAGUCAACGAGUUGUCCUGCAUCGGAAGGUGUGGGUAAUCUUUUGAAACUUCGUCGUGCUGGGGAUAGAUCUUUGCAAUUUUCGAUCUUGAACGAGGAGUUCCUAGUAAGCGUGAUUCAUCAGAUCGCGUUGAUUACGUCCCUGCCCUUUGUACACACCGCCCGUCGCUACUACCGAUUGAAUGGUUUAGUGAGGCCUCGGGACUGGCGCGCUCGAGUAGCAAUACACCUGCGCGCCGGGAACUUGGUCAAACUUGAUCAUUUAGAGGAAGUAAAAGUCGUAACA
rnacentral:rRNA from 1 species